rnacentral:rRNA from 1 species
GAUGAACGCUGGCGGCGUGCCUAAUACAUGCAAGUCGAGCGAACAGACGAGGAGCUUGCUCCUCUGACGUUAGCGGCGGACGGGUGAGUAACACGUGGAUAACCUACCUAUAAGACUGGGAUAACUUCGGGAAACCGGAGCUAAUGCCGGAUAAUAUAUUGAACCGCAUGGUUCAAUAGUGAAAGACGGUUUUGCUGUCACUUAUAGAUGGAUCCGCGCCGCAUUAGCUAGUUGGUAAGGUAACGUCUUACCAAGGCAACGAUGCGUAGCCGACCUGAGAGGGUGAUCGGCCACACUGGAACUGAGACACGGUCCAGACUCCUACGGGAGGCAGCAGUAGGGAAUCUUCCGCAAUGGGCGAAAGCCUGACGGAGCAACGCCGCGUGAGUGAUGAAGGUCUUCGGAUCGUAAAACUCUGUUAUUAGGGAAGAACAAAUGUGUAAGUAACUAUGCACGUCUUGACGGUACCUAAUCAGAAAGCCACGGCUAACUACGUG